AGCCCGCUGUUAUGAUCUCGGAGUGAAACAGGUUUGUUUUUCUGGUCAAGACUGUCAUGACAUGCGUAAAUCCAGAAAUAUGAAUUAUCAAUAAAGAAAGCUAUAUGUUGAUAUAUGAAUACAUCGUUCAAGUAUGCACAGUGUUAGUAUAAAGAAGGCUGUCCUUGAUCGAGCACCUUUCAUCACAGCUGCUCUGUUCCAAAUCUUAUCGCGCCAUUUUGUAGGUCUAUCAGAUGGCUGAUAACCUGUUUUCUUCUCACAGUGACAGAGUACUAGAUUUUGGUAUCCUAAAACAUAUGAUACGAUUUUGAAUCAGAAUUGUACUGUGCUGUUGCCUGAACAUAAGACCAUGGAUGAUAGAGAGAAGACACAACCGAAUCUGGACACAUCUGUGAAGAAGAUUACACGUCCAAGUAACACUUCAAACAACCAGCAACAAACUCCUGACCAAUCUCCAGGAUCUGAUGCCAAGAAAGAAGCACACGAUGAAAGCCAUUCCUUCCGAUACCGCUUCGAAUACAAACAAUCAGA